AUUGAACGCUGGCGGCAGGCUUAACAAAUGCAAGUCGAGCGGAGAUGAGGUGCUUGCACCUUAUCUUAGCGGCGGACGGGUGAGUAAUGCUUAGGAAUCUGCCUAUUAGUGGGGGACAACAUUCCGAAAGGAAUGCUAAUACCGCAUACGCCCUACGGGGGAAAGCAGGGGAUCUUCGGACCUUGGGCUAAUAGAUGAGCCUAAGUCGGAUUAGCUAGUUGGUGGGGUAAAGGCCUACCAAGGCGACGAUCUGUAGCGGGUCUGGGAGGAUGGUCCGCCACACUGGGACUGAGACACGGCCCAGACUCCUACGGGAGGCAGCAGUGGGGAAUAUUGGACAAUGGGCGGAAGCCUGAUCCAGCCAUGCCGCGUGUGUGAAGAAGGCCUUUUGGUUGUAAAGCACUUUAAGCGAGGAGGAGGCUACCUGGAUUAAUACUCUAGGAUAGUGGACGUUACUCGCAGAAUAAGCACCGGCUAACUCUGUGCCAGCCGCCGCAGUAACAC
rnacentral:rRNA from 1 species